rnacentral:rRNA from 1 species
UUACGCGAAGAAACCUUACCUACCCUUGACAUGCCACUAACGAAGUAGAGAUACAUUAGGUGCCCGUAAGGGAAAGUGGACACAGGUGCUGCAUGGCUGUCGUCAGCUCGUGUCGUGAGAUGUUGGGUUAAGUCCCGCAACGAGCGCAACCCUUGUCUCUAGUUGCUACGCAAGAGCACUCUAGAGAGACUGCCGGUGACAAACCGGAGGAAGGUGGGGAUGACGUCAAGUCCUCAUGGCCCUUAUGGGUAGGGCUUCACACGUCAUACAAUGGUGCAUACAGAGGGUUGCCAACCCGCGAGGGGGAGCUAAUCUCAGAAAAUGCAUCGUAGUCCGGAUCGUAGUCUGCAACUCGACUACGUGAAGCUGGAAUCGCUAGUAAUCGCGGAUCAGAAUGUCGCGGUGAAUACGUUCCCGGGUCUUGUACACACCG